rnacentral:lncRNA from 1 species
AGUGCUCACGGGAGAAGGCAAGUUAGAAAGAACCUGAGACGUGACACUGAAAAUCAGUAGAAGAAAUACGCCACAUUUAUUCUACCGGGGAAGACAGUGGGUAAGAAAAAAAUACCGUAACAUUUAAAUUAAAAAAUAAUUAAAAAUUUAAAAGCAAAUAGAAAUUAAAACAAAAUACACUGAUAACCUCGCUGCCAGAACAAGAUACACCAAAAAAAAAUUUUUUUUUUUGAGUAUACAAAACAUACAAAGCAUCCUACAAACAGAAAGAAAUUGCAAACAGGGUCGAAUGGUGAGAUCCUACCAUUAUAUUUGUCAGCACUAAACCCGUGCCUCUUGCGCCUAUCCGAAGUUUCCUCGGAUUAAGAAGAAACAGCCAUGGUUAAACCGGUAUUUGCGACACCAACAAUUAUCUGUAGCCGACGUACCCCAACUUCUACAUGAGUGAAAAAUCGCCAGCAUAGCCAGGGCGAGACUAUUGCGAAUUCUAACUUGGUAUGAUUUAAAAAUUCCAGACACUGCUAAAUUUUUUUAAAUUGCAUUCUUCAGUACCUAGAUUAAUACAGGAGUUAUAAACCGCACGCAUGGCUAUAAUGGGGGCUCCUAUUACGGAACAGGAAUUUGCUACUACUAAAAUUAUGUAGGCAUGGUUAAAGCCAGAAUUGUUACAACCAGAAAUCGCAAACUGGAAUAACUCUCAACUUGCUACGGUAAGAAAUAACUAAACUCUGACUUGGUCAGACUAAGAAAUCAGGAGUUUGAGACCAGCCCAGGCAACAUGGCGAAAUCCUGUCUCUAGGAAGGAUACAAAAAAUUACCCGGGCGUGGUGGCGCGUGCCUGUGGUCCCAGCUACCCCGGAGGCUGGGGUGGGAGGAUCGCUUCAGCCCGGGAGGCGGAGGUUGCAGUGAGCCGAGAUCGCGGCACUGCACUCCAGCCUGGGCGACAGAGCCGGACCCCGUAUCAAGAAAGAAAGAGAAAAGAAAAAGAACCAAAGAAAAAGAAAAGUCACCAUCGCACGGUUAAGUCUGCCUUGCUACAGCUAAACAGUGACUUCCUAGGACCAAGAAAUCGCAGCCAGGGCUAGACCGAUGCCCUAAAUCGGGACUUGCUUAGGCUGAGAAAUCACAUUUUGGCUAGUUAUUUGGACAAGAGGUAGAAAUAGCGGGCACCGCGAAAUCGAAACUUGCUAGGACCAAGAAGCCAACGACGGGCGAAACCGCAGGGGCCUGCGAUAGAGACGCCAGCGGCGCCGCCGGGGGACUGGGUUCAGGAGGCCGAGCAGGAACCCGUGCGUCGGCGCUCGCGGCGCUGUGAAGAGACGGCGUCCGCGCAGCUCCUCUGCCUCUGGCUCGGAGGAGCGGCGGGCUCCCCCGCCCAGCGCCGGCGUCGCCCGGGAACCCCAGACUCUGCGCAACUGGCUGCGAUUCCAAAUCCCUCAGAUCGGCUACCAGAGCGCUGCCGCCACCGAGAAAAUGGAGGCACCGAGGAACAAGAUGUGCCGCGACCAAGAGAACUCGGCUUGGCGAAAUGGCGGUGCUGGGACCCUAAGAGUGACGCCAGCCGGAGGAGUUCCCAAGGACAACAUCCAUUUUGGCGGAACCAACGGUGUUGUCACGCAGAAAAUGUCGACCCUCGGAAAAGAGAGGUUCUGCGACCGAGAAAUUCGGUGCAACAAGUGCUGUGACAGAAAACCCCCCGCUCGGCGCUGCUGGCGAAAGAGCCAACAAAACGCUGGGUGCUGCCACCGUGACACCGACUUUAGGACCCCGGCCUCGGAUGGAGAAAGGAGGGUACGGAGCCACCACAUAACUUCCUAAUGUCUUCAAAUAGCGAAAGUGCUAGCCGGAAACUGCCGGCUGGGUUUACCUAUUGGUGCUCGUGUGGGACUAGCAGAUUCGAGAAACCAGCGGGACUGGAACCUAGUACACUUCGGCAGUUGAGAAAUGACUUACCAGGACAAAUACUGCUUCUGGCUCGAUGGUGCUGCCCAUGAACAUCCGCCGGCUCUGAGAAACGAGCUGCACUGUCAGUGAGAAACCGUGGGCACUGAGAAACGAGCGGACUGCAACUGAUAACUGCCCACCCAGUGCCACUACGACAAAGUGCUGCUGGCACUACUCCCACCCUCCGUCCUCAAAUCAGUCCCCUCCCGCCUAAGAAGACCUUUAUUUUUCCUAGCGAAGUCAUACUGAGGGCCCCAUCAACCGAUCCCUUGCGAUGCGCAUGGGAAAAGGAGGCAGUAUAGGGACCGAGAAUCGGGCGGAUUGGGCUGGCCCUGGUAACAAAAGCCAUCCGGGUCGCCAACCGUCUUCCACUGCAAGAAACAAACCUUCCAGUGGCUGGGCUCCGCCCUUCUCCUUGGUCAGAGCCCUCCAGGCUCCUAAGGGCGAAGCCGACACCUCAUCCCUUUGGAACUUGAAGUUCUCAGUCCAAGACCUCCGUGGAGAGUGAAAGACUCAAUGCCUCCUGACCGAGGCUUCAGGCCUGCCCCGGCAGCUAGGAAACCUGAAACUGCCAUUGAGCAGAAGGAAAACAUCCCUUUCCAGAACCUUUCUCGUUUUUCUAAAAAUCUGCACUUUUGGAAGUGAUCCCCCAAAGAGACCUCCAGACUCUACCAUGAGUGUCUCCAGCUGAACUCAUCGUGUCUAAUCCUCACCCUAGCUUAUCCUGUUCAAAUCAUUUCCAUCUUUUUCUGGAUGAACCUGGGCGGAUGUCAGACCAGAGAAGAGCACAGAAUGUACCAGAGAGAGUCUUGCUCUGUCACCCAGGCUGAAGUGCACCCAGGCUGAAGUUGGAGGCUAUGGUGAGCUGCACCACUACACCACUAUGGGAGGCCGAGGCGAGUGGAUUGCCUGAGCUCAGGAGUUCGAGACCAGCCUGGGCAACGUUGUGAAACCCCGUCUCUACUAAAACACAAAAAAUUAGCCAGGCCUGGCGGCAUGUGCCUAUAGUCCCAGCUACUCAGGAGGCUGAGGCAGGAGAAUUGCUUGAACCCGGGAGCUGGAGGUUGCAGUGAGCCGAGAUUGCGCCACUGCACUCCAGCCUCGGUGACAGAGUGAGACUCCGUCUCAAAAAAAAACAAUAUAAGGUGAAGGCCAAGCAGGGUGGCACAUACCUGUUGUCUCACCUACUCAAAAGGCUGAGGCCAGAGGAGGAUUGCUGGAAGUGAGUUCAAAGCCAGCCUAGAGAAUAUAUUGAGACUCUGUCUCUAAAUUUUAUAUAUAUAUGGUGAAUUCACCUUUACCAUAUCUUUUAUGUAUAAGCAAUGGGAUUGAUUAGCAAGUAAUGGGACUCUGAAAUCAAAGGGGUAAAUUUGGGUAGAUCUUUAUAAAUAUAAUAACCUUGAACCCCACAAAUCUCUCUAAGCGUCCUUUAAAAAAUAGACUUUCUGUCUGAGUAGGUGAGUCCUUUUUUUUGUUUGAAGAUACUAGAAAGCUCUUACUUGAGACAGCUCCUAAAAGAAUGUCAAUUCAACAGAAGUCUCAUAGCCAGUAUAACUAAUUCUAACCCCCUAACUAGAGUCAGAUACUAGGAUACCCCUAAGGGACAACAAUGAAAUCUGAAUUUGGGUGUCAUUGCUUACAUAUCAAAACAGUUGCAAGAGACAGUUAAUUUAUAUUUGCAGAAACCAUAUGAAUUUGUAUGAAAAUGAUUUUUUAAAGUGCUAUAUCAAGAAAACUAGAACAUAAUGCAGAACAAAUAAAAUUUACUUAUAUGGGUGCCAAGAAUAGAAAUUCUGGGUUCCGCAUACAUCAGCAUCUAGAAGAAUCUGCAGUAGGUAUGGAUGGUUGAUUGAGGCCUUUAUUCAAUGGUAGUCUACAAAGAAUAAGACAGAAGUAAGAACUUUCCUGUUAAAAUGGAAAGAUAGAGUAAACAAGUUUAGGAAUAUCUCAUAAGCCACUGAUUCCAUUCUUAGGUCUAUAUCCAAGGGAAAUUCUUGCACAUGCACACAAGGAAACAUGGAAGAGAAUGUCCAUAUAUGUACUGUUCACAGUAACAAAAAUUUGCUGAGGAGGAAGGAACUAAAACUCCAACAAUAGGAGAGCGGAUAGAAAGGAACAUAUUAUAUUCACAGAACGGAAUAUUUUACAAAAAUCAGAAUAAACUACAACAUUACUCAAAAUCAUGGCUGCAUUAUAGCAACAUAAUAUUCAGAGAAAAAGUUUAAAAGACUACAUAGAACUGUCAAUUGAGGAAAAUGACAAGAUAAGUCUCAAUCAUUUUAGGAGGUUUAUUUGCCAAAGUUAAGGACAUGCCUGGGAGACAGGUCUAUGCCUUUCUCUGAUGAUGAUUUUGAGGGCUCCAAAUUUAAAGGGGAAAGGGCAGGAUAUUGAGAAGCGCACAGUUUUCACAUAAACCAAAGGGGCAGAGGAAAAAUAUGGGGAAUCUGCAUUUUACAUAAGAUAACAGACAAAAUGGGGUAGAGGGAACAAUCAGAUAUGCAUUUGUGUCUGGCGAGCAGGGUGACUGCACAUGUAAAGAUAAGCUAUCAAUUUGCAUUGCCAUGGUGAAGUUUUAACAGCUCACCAGGAAUUUCCCUGUGGGCAAAAUAUGGGAGAGGCAUGUAGCUUUUCAUCUUGUAGCCAUCUUAUUUAGGAAUCAAAAGCGGGAGGCAGGUUUGUGUGACCCAGUUCCCAGCUUAACUUUUCCCUUUGGCUAAAUGAGUUUGGGGUCCCAAAGUUUAAUUUCCCUUCACAGAACACAGUUUUAUUUUAUAAAAUUAACAAAAACACACAAUAUGUAGAUACAUAUUGAUAAAAAUAAAACUAUGUAAAAAGGUAAACAACAGAAUAUUCAAUUUAGUAAUAAAAUAACCAACUGUGGAUGGUUAUCUUGAAUUGAAGGGUUGGAAAUAAGGGAUACAGGAAAAUCACACACAAUAAACUAAAUUGGAAGAUGGGCCUAAUGCUAACACCAAAAAUGGACCUCUUGACGGCAGAAUUGCAUUUAUCUAUCCAGCCUCAGGAAGAGUUACACAACCUCAAGUUUCCUCAAGUGAGGCUGUGUGUCUAUGAAAUGUGGGGCAUGGAGAAGCAAGCAUAGCACAGUUUUCCAGGAGGCGCUGGCUUAAUAAAAGAGGGUGGAAUGUGAGGGGCCAAACUUUUCAUGUGUAGAUCCCCUCUCAAACUCUACAACCAGAUAAUUCAUUAGUUUAGUGGUGAGAACUAAAAGAUGAGACAUGAAACUAAAGUUAUUCAGGUAUAAUUGUACCUUAUAGAAACUGGACAAGGGGGAUGCCACUUUUCCCACUUAUACAAUCAUUCAGUGUAUUGAACUACCCUGUGAAAAGAUAAGUACAAUUGCAUUAAUAGAUUAAGUAAACUACAACAAGGUAUGGGGUCACACACCUGUAGUCCCAGCUACUCAGGAGGCUGAGACAGGAGGAUUGGUUGAGCUCAGGAGUUAAAGGCUGUAAUGAGUUAUAAUCAUGCCACUGCACUCCAGUAUGCGUGACAGAGUAAUACUUCAUCUCUUGAAAAAUAAAGAGAGAAAAGAGAGAAAGAAAUUAUAGCUUCAAACUCUAUGCUAUUUUGAAGACAUAAAGUAAAAUGAUAAAAAGAGUUGAAAAUAAAGGAGUGGACAAAGAUACAUCUGAAUCUAAUCAAUUUUUUGAACUUUUAUUUUAGGUUCAGGGGUACAUUGGGUAUAUUUUAGGUUCAGGUGGGUGGAGGGAUGUCCUUUAGUUCUGUCCUUUGUCCAGUACCCAUGAAGAUAAGCUGUUAAUUUACAUUGUUAGGGUGAAAUUCAACAGAACUAUUUUAGGGUACAGAUAUCAAGGUCCACAAGAAAUUUCCUUGUGAGCAAACUGAAGAUGGUAUAUAGCCUUUUGUCUUUGUAGCUCUCUAUUUAGAGGAAAAAAUAAGAGGCCAUUUUAUGUGACUUGGGUCCAAGCUUGACUUUUCCCUUCAACUUAGGGAAUUUGGGGUCCUAGUAUUUUUAUUUGCCCUUCCUAGCUGUUAUAUGUAAGUUGCUCUGGUGAUUUUUCCUGAAGUUUAUAUUGCCUAACUUCAGUUGGCAGGGCUUUAAGAAAAAGCACAAUUUUAAUCUUUAGUGAGUCUAACCAAGAAAAAUGGAAACAUCAGUUCAGAGACUUGUAGAGACAAAAAUAUUUAGUAUUUGGUCUAAAUUGUAGCCAAAUAACAAAAACUCAAAAACAAUGGGCAGGGCUAGAGUCUAAUAACAGGUGUACUAUAGUGUUUUUUCUGAAAUGCAAUUUUUCUUUCUUUUUUUUUUUUUUGAGAUGGAGUCUUGCUCUGUUGCCCAGGCUGGAGUGCAGUGGCACUAUCUCGGCUCACUGCAAGCUCUGCCUCCUGGGUUCACACCAUUCUCCUGCCUCAGCCUCCUGAGUAGCUGGGACUACAGGCGCCCACCACCACACCUGGCUAAUUUUUUGUAUUUUUAGUAGAGACGGGGUUUCACCAUGUUAGCCAGGAUGGUCUCGAUCUCCUGACCUCAUGAUCCACCCGCCUCGGCUUCCCAAAGUGCUGGGAUUACAGACUCGAGCCACCGUGCCCGGCCCCCGCAAUUUUUCUUUCUUUAGUCUCUCAUUUAUACCAAAGACAAAUCAUAGUAAGACUAAUUUACUUGUAAAAUGUUUUAGUCUUACUAUAUUUGGCCUGAUUCUUUGCAUAAAGUAUAGCAAGAAUAGUGAUUAGUGAUGUAGGCAUUUUUUAAGUUGGUGUUGCUAGAACUUUUUUUUUUUUUUUUUUUUUGAGAUGGAGUCUCUCUCCGUUGCCCAGGCCGGAGUGCAAUGGCGCGAUCUCUGCUCACUGCAACCUCUGCCUCCCAGGUGCAAGCAAUUCUCCUGCCUCAGCCUCCCAAGUAGCUGGGAUUACAGGCGCUCACCACCGCACCUGGCUAAUUUUUAUAUUUUUAGUAGAGACGGGGUUUUGCCAUGUUGGCCAGGUUGGUUUCGAAUUCCUGCCCUCAGGUGAUCCGCCCACCUCGGCCUCCCAAAGUGCUGGGAUUACAGGCAUGAGCCACUGUGCUUGGCCACUAGAACUUUUUCAUAAGGAAUCUCAGGUUACACUUUUAAAAGCUUCUUAAAGCUGAGAAGCCAAGCCAAAGAUUUGCCAUCAGACUGUGCUUAUAAAACCAGUGUAUAAAACUGUGUAAAAUAUGUGUGUAUAAAACCAGUGAAUUCCUCUCUUUUUGAGGUUCCCAAAAUAUCUGGAGAGUCCUGGGCCUGUCAUAAGGUGAUGUUAUUUACUUACCACAAGAUCAUCAGGAACCUCGUAAGGGAGCCAUGUAGAUGAGGCACCAAGCCAGUCUUUCCAAGGGGCUUUUUAUUUGCUCUGUGAAGACAACCUAAAUUGCUCAAAGCAGUCUGGUCAUAUCCAAAAAUAUAUCAUUCCAGUUAAAGCCUUGGUAAAAUAACCAGUAUAUCCAAUUGUGAGCUGUUACAAAAGAAAGCAGAUUCUUACUGUGUAUGCAAAUAACUAUAUUGCCAUAAAUUAAGAAUACUCACGAAUAGCUUCCAAAUUUUGGAGAAAUCAGGUAGAGAAAGGUAAAUGUUUCCUUGUUUUUUUUUUUUGUUUUUUUUUUUGAGACAGAGUCUCGCUCUGUCAACAGGCUGUAGUGUAGUGGCGUGAUCUCGGCUCACUGCAACCACCACCUCCCAGGUUCAAGUGAUUCUCCUGCCUCAGACACCCGAGUAACUGGGACUACAGGCGCGUGCCACCACACCUAGCUAAUUUUUGUAUUUUUAGUAGAGAUGGGGUUUCACCAUGUUGGCCAGGAUGUCUCAAUCUCUCGACCUCGUGAUCCGCCUGCCUCAGCCUCUCAAAGUGCUAGGAUUAUAGAAGUGAGCCACCACGCUCGGCAAAUGUUUCAAUUUUAUUCACAAAAGUAUACUUUACCCAAUUGUUGUAAACUAUAAAUAUUAAUGUUUAAAAUAAAAUUUUUCUUGACUCAAAAACAAAACAGGAAAAGAAUCAGCAAUAUUUUAAGCAAAAAAGUUACAAAAAUUAUUUUAGUCUUUUAUCAGUUUAGUUCCAUGUAAUUCAUUCCUGUUCUGCUUGAAGUUAUCAACUUUCAUGAACCUAUUAACUUUGUUUACUAGAGUCUUGAAAAAUUUCACAUUGUUCAAUGUUAUGAUCUCCAAAGUUAUCAAAAACCUGUAUUCAAGAGUACUUGUCAGGAUCCUUAUGAAUUUUUUUGAAGAAGAAUCAAAUUUUGGACUAUAGCUGAUUAUAAACUGUCUUUCAAGAAGAAUGAAAAUAAAACAAUAAAUGUCUAUGGAUGGCAAAAGACUUAGAAUAGCCGUAAUUAAAGACACAAUUGACAGCCAGGUGUAGUGGCUCAUGCCUGUAAUCCCAGCAAUUUGGGAGGCCAAGGUGGUCGGUUCACAAGGUCAGGAGAUCAAGACAAUCCUGGCUAACAUGGUGAAACCCCAUCCCUACUAAAAAUACAAAAAAAAAAAUUAGCUGGGCAUGGUUACAGGCGCCUGUACUCCCAGCUACAGGUAGGAGGGAGGUAGGAGAAUGGCAUGAACCCAAGGAGGUGGAGCUUGCAGUGAACCGAAAUGGCGCCACUGCACUCCAGCCUGGGUGACAUAGUGAGACUCCGCCUCCAAAAAAAAAAAAAAAGACACAAUUGACAAGAAAAUUUGCUUAUUUCUGUGGCAUAUAACAAUUUAACACAAUAAUCAUAUGAAUCAUAACAUAGGCCAAGACAUAUCAUAAUUUUAGGAAUCUCAUACAAUUUUGGAGCACAUAUUAAUAACACAUUUCUGCAAAUGUAACUCAAAGUUAAAUGCCACUUCUAUUUGACAGUGUUUUCCAUAUGAUUUUUAUAUACCAAAAUUAAAAGUUAGUUUCAGGUCAAAAAGACUUAAUUUUAGAAUAUAAAAUUUGAUUUUGAGAAGUUUGUCAACUAUUAAAGGCUUAAAACACUUGAUAGGAAAAUAAGAAAGGUUUCAAACCCUGGAUCAAAAUAGAAUUACACAUAAGUAAUCCUUAUCUUACACAAAUAAGUUACUCAUUUAGCCAAAGUGAUAAUUCAAAGAUUUCAAAAAGCAAAAACCCUUACUCUUUGAUAGAGAGGAGACUCAGUUCUCUAAACAGUCAAAAAGACAAAGACAGCAUGAGGCAAACUCUCUUUUUUCUUUUGCAAUGUAUUUAAAAGGUGAACAAAAAAUCUUGCAUUUGUUAUCUCUUUUUUUUUUUUUUUUUUUGUUGUGUUCUAGGAAAACUUUAUUUAUAAACACAGGCAGCCAAUAGUUUGCCAACUCCUAUUUUAGAACAUGAGUGAGAAUCAUCAAUAAAACUACAAAUCUUUGCAACAGUCAGAAUAAGAAAAUAGUGAAUUAAAGACUAUUAGCAUUUCAGCCAUCUAGGACAGUGUUCUUCUCAUUAUCAUACGUAAAUAUUUGUUUUGUUUUUUUUUUUUUUUAAUUGAUCAUUCUUGGGUGUUUCUCGCAGAAGGGGAUUUGGCAGGGUCAUAGGACAAUAGUGGAGGGAAGGUCAGCAGAUAAACAAGUGAACAAAGGUCUCUGGUUUUCCUAGGCAGAGGACCCUGCUGCCUUCCGCAG